UACGUAGGGGGGCGAGCGUUGUUCGGAAUCACUGGGCGUAAAGGGCGCGUAGGCGGCCCUCCUUGUCGCGUGUGAAAGCCCCGGGCUCAACCUGGGAACGGCGCGCGAGACGGGGGGGGCUGGAGUUCGGGAGAGGAGCGUGGAAUUCCCAGUGUAGAGGUGAAAUUCGUAGAUAUUGGGAAGAACACCGGUGGCGAAGGCGGCGCUCUGGACCGAGACUGACGCUGAGGCGCGAAAGCUAGGGGAGCAAACGGG
rnacentral:rRNA from 1 species